rnacentral:rRNA from 1 species
CCUACGGGAGGCAGCAGUGGGGAAUAUUGGGCAAUGGAGGAAACUCUGACCCAGCGACGCCGCGUGCGGGAUGAAGGCCUUCGGGUUGUAAACCGCUUUCAGUAGGGAAGAAGCGAAAGUGACGGUACCUACAGAAGAAGCACCGGCUAACUAUGUGCCAGCAGCCGCGGUAAUACAUAGGGUGCAAGCGUUGUCCGGAAUUAUUGGGCGUAAAGAGCUCGUAGGUGGUUCGUCACGUCGGAUGUGAAAAUCUGGGGCUCAACCCCAGACCUGCAUUCGAUACGGGCGAUCUAGAGUGUGGUAGGGGAGACUGGAAUUCCUGGUGUAGCGGUGGAAUGCGCAGAUAUCAGGAGGAACACCAAUGGCGAAGGCAGGUCUCUGGGCCAUUACUGACACUGAGGAGCGAAAGCGUGGGGAGCGAACAGGAUUAGAUACCCUGGUAGUCCACGCCGUAAACGGUGGGCACUAGUUGUGGGAACCUUCCACGGUUUCUGCGACGCAGCUACGACAUUAGUCGCCCGCCGUCGGGUAGGUACGAGCGCGAGAAUUAAACUAACAAAUAGAAGUUAGACGGCGUGAGACGUCGCCGAACGGACGACCGACCGAGGGAGGUAGG